UACGAAGGAUGCAAGCGUUAUCCGGAUUUAUUGGGCGUAAAGAGCUCGUAGGCGGCCAGUUGCGUCUGCUGUGAAAUCCCGGGGCUCAACCCCGGGCGUGCAGUGGAUACGGGCUGGCUAGAGGCAGGCAGGGGAGAACGGAAUUCCCGGUGUAGCGGUGAAAUGCGCAGAUAUCGGGAGGAACACCGGUGGCGAAGGCGGUUCUCUGGGCCUGUACUGACGCUGAGGAGCGAAAGCGUGGGGAGCGAACAGG
rnacentral:rRNA from 1 species